rnacentral:rRNA from 1 species
AUUGAACGCUGGCGGCAGGCCUAACACAUGCAAGUCGAGCGGAUGAAGGGAGCUUGCUCCUGGAUUCAGCGGCGGACGGGUGAGUAAUGCCUAGGAAUCUGCCUGGUAGUGGGGGAUAACGUCCGGAAACGGGCGCUAAUACCGCAUACGUCCUGAGGGAGAAAGUGGGGGAUCUUCGGACCUCACGCUAUCAGAUGAGCCUAGGUCGGAUUAGCUAGUUGGUGGGGUAAAGGCCUACCAAGGCGACGAUCCGUAACUGGUCUGAGAGGAUGAUCAGUCACACUGGAACGGAGACACGGUCCAGACUCCUACGGGAGGCAGCAGUGGGGAAUAGUGGACAAUGGGCGAAAGCCUGAUCCAGCCAUGCCGCGUGUGUGAAGAAGGUCUUCGGAUUGUAAAGCACUUUAAGUUGGGAGGAAGGGCAGUAAGUUAAUACCUUGCUGUUUUGACGUUACCAACAGAAUAAGCACCGGCUAACUUCGUG